rnacentral:rRNA from 1 species
GAAGGAGGAGGCAAGCGAUAUCCGGAAUUAUUGGCCGUAAAGGGUACGGAGGCGGCUGGUCAAGUCUGGGGUCAAAGGCCACAGCUCAACUGUGGGAAGGCCCUGGAAACUGGCCGGCUAGAGUGAGGUAGGGGUUGCGGGAAUUCCCGGUGUAGCGGUGAAAUGCGUAGAGAUCGGGAAGAACACCUGAGGCGGAAGCGCGCAACUGGGCCUCCACUGACGCUGAGGUACGAAAGCUAGGGGAGCGAAUGGG